rnacentral:SRP_RNA from 1 species
GCCGGGCAUGGUGGCACAUGCCUGUAAUCCCAGCUUCUUGGGAGGCUGAGGCGGGAGAAUCGCUGGGACCCGGGAGGCGGAGACUGCAGUGAGCCGAGAUCGCAUCACUGUACUCCAGUCUUGGCAACAGAGCAAGACUCCAUCUCAAAAAAAUAAAAUAAAAAGGUACGUAUAAUCUGGACAGAGAUGUUUUGGUGAAAUUAAGGACACAGGCUUGGAUGAACUGGCCCAGGUCAGAAAUAGAGGAGGUCAAAACUCCUGUGCUAAUCAGUAGUGGGAUGGUACCUGUGAAUAGCCACUGUAUUGCAGCCUGGGCAACAGAGUGAGACUCUGUCUCAA